GCGGGACUCAAACCCAGAGCAGAAGCAAAGCCUCCAUUCACAUCCUGCUCUACCACCUGAGCUAAACACCAUUAUGAGUUCACACUGGAUGAAUAAACACAAUGAGUCCCGCCCACAGACUUUCUGACGAAUGCAGGUGGAGCGCGCCGAAAAGGGGCGGUCUCGCUCGUUUCCCGCGUGAAAUUAGUGGAUUUCCCUCCAAAACUGUAGAUGUGUAUUUAAAUAGCUGUUGGAUCGUCACUCUGGUUCCAGCGGCUCUACUCUGAGGACACGAAUACGGUGAACAGUGGGACUUGUCUUCAGCUUCAGGUGGAACAGCUCUGACCUGUAUGGUGAUCAGACCCGGAGAGGAGACACACCUGGUCCAACCAGGUGAUGGACAGUUGAAAGGACGAAUCACCAAGAUGAGCCAAUCAAUGGAGACGAGCCGCCACAGGAGCCUGAACCUGUACUUCACGAGGGGGAUCAAACAUGGCUGAUAUAUCUGCAGUUCACUGCUCGUUUCUCCAGAACGAGAGCAGCCAGGAGCUGAAAGUUGUGGGCAG